rnacentral:rRNA from 1 species
UACGAAGGGGGCUAGCGUUGCUCGGAAUCACUGGGCGUAAAGGGUGCGUAGGCGGGUCUUUAAGUCAGGGGUGAAAUCCUGGAGCUCAACUCCAGAACUGCCUUUGAUACUGAGGGUCUUGAGUUCGGGAGAGGUGAGUGGAACUGCGAGUGUAGAGGUGAAAUUCGUAGAUAUUCGCAAGAACACCAGUGGCGACGGCGGCUCACUGGCCCGAUACUGACGCUGAGGCACGAAAGCGUGGGGAGCAAACAGG